rnacentral:tRNA from 1 species
GGGUUGUUAGCUCAGUUGGUAGAGCAGCGGACUCUUAAUCCGUAGGUCGAGUGUUCGAGUCACUCAGGGCCCACCA